GUCCACGCCGUAAAACGAUGGGUACUAGGUGCCUGGGGGAGCGACCCCUUGGGUGCCGGCGCUAACGCAGGAAGUACCCCGCCUGGGGAGUACGGCCGCAAGGCUGAAACUCAAAGGAAUUGACGGGGCCCGCACAAGCGGUGGAGCAUGUGGUUUAAUUCGACGCAACGCGAAGAACCUUACCUAGGCUUGACAUGCAUGGGAAACUCCUCAGAAACGAGGAGCCUCCUUCGGGAUCCAUGCACAGGUGCUGCAUGGCUGUCGU
rnacentral:rRNA from 1 species